AUGACGAGCCAUCGCCGCCUCCGCUCGACGGCGCGGCCGCCGCUGGAGAACGAUGACCUGCUCUCCGAGGUCCUCCUCCGCCUCCCGCCGCAGCCGUCCUCCAUCCCGCGCGCCUCCCUCGUGUGCAAUCCCUGGCGCAGCCUCGUCUCAGAUCCAGGUUUCCUCCGCCGCUUCCGCCUCCAGCACCGCCGCAACGCUCCUCUUCUCGGUUUCUUCUAUAUUAGUUUCGCGGAGGGAAGUUCUCGGGACAUCUACUUCGUACCAACCAUGGAUCGCCCCAAUCGUCUGCCGGAGGGCCGCUUCUACUUGCCGGCCGACCCAGAGGACGGCUACCGCGCGCUCCUUGGAUGCCGCGAUGGUCUCGUCCUCAUUCUCCGGCUACCUUGGAGGUGCCCCGAGAAAACAAAAACACCCCUGGCAUCGUGGCGCCCGGUCCUGGUGUGGGAUCCUGUCAGCGGCGACCAGCACCCCAUUCCUGUUCCCCUGGUGCCUGAUGAUGUUAAGCUCUCAUGGUGGAACAACGGGGCGGUGCUUCGCCGUGCCGGAUUAGACCAGUUCCAGGUAGUCUUGUUGAUGGCAGAGGAGGAAAAACAAAAUAGAAGAUUGAUCGCCUGGAUUUACUCGUCCGAGACCCGCGAAUGGGGUAAUCCCACCUCGACAUUGCUUCCAUCCUGGGACUUCUUAGGAGAUAUGGCCAAGCCUGCUGUGCUCGCUGGGAAUUCGCUUUACUGGAUCCUUGUUGGUAGUUCAUCAAGCAUCUUUGAGUUUGAUUUGGGUACGGAGAGAUUAAUUGUGAUACCUGUGCCGCGGCAAUUGCAUAUGAUGCACAGGAGCCACUACUCGAUUUUGCAGGCUGAUGGGGGUGGGCUUGGUUUCCUCUGUCUGUUAGAGUGGGACUACAAGGCCGUGUUAUACAACUGGAAGACAGAUUGUGAUGGCGUUGGUUCAUGGGUGAUCGUAAGAGUCAUUGAGCUGGACAAGCUACUUUCACUGAAUGAAGAGAAGAAGUACGAGCUACUUUGCGAGAAUGAACAUAAGGAGGGCACAGGGAUACUAGGGUUUGCUGAGAAGAAUAAUGUGAUACUCUUGAAGACGUUUAUCGGCCUGUUUAUGUUUGAGCUUGACUCAUUGCAGUUAAAGAAACUUCCCAGGACCCACGAGCACAUAUUCGAUGUGCAUGAAUUCGUCCAUGCAUUUGAAUGUGUCUACGCUGCAGGUACAGGCUUUGGUGGUGGACAUGAUGGAGCAGAAGUUUUGCACAAUGCAUAA
rnacentral:rRNA from 1 species